rnacentral:lncRNA from 1 species
UAUAAGAGACAAAUUUAACAUAUUUUUCUCUUAACUUUUGUCUCUAAUUCAAUAUUUUGUCUAUAAAAACCUUUUUUUAAUUUAGAAAUAAUAUAAUAAUAGCUAUUUUCAAUCUAAUUACUGGAAUAUCAUAAUAUCCAAAUUGAGAUUCAGAUUAGAAAAACAAAUUAUGAUGAGAUCCUACAAAGCACAGCAUGGCAUAUAGUUGCUAACAUGGAAGUUAUCAUUCUUUCUUCUUUCCUUGUAUAGCUAGAUCUAAAUCUCAUGCAUGAAAACCUAAGAUCAAGCAAAAAAAUCACAACCAAAUAACACACAACAUUAUUCAUCAAUGAUUAAUUAGGAUGUUCAUAAAAACAUUACAAUUAUUGUAAAAGGAAAACAUAAAGAAGGUCUUUGCAGCAUUUGGAUCCGACAUUGUUUUUUGUCGGACCCGCAUGCACAUUUUCUUCUCUCUCCCUCGUAUUGUUGUUCAGAAGAGGGAGAGAUAGAGACCAUAUGCUACCAACUGAAUUUGAAACUUUCAUUUUCUUUGCCAAAUUCCUAACACUUUUCAGGUAUGUUAC